ACUGCGGGGUCAACGGGGGGCCGGGGCCGCUCUCGCUUCUGUCCUUUUGGCUUCUUUCCGACCUCGUGCACCUCUCUGCUCCUUUAUGAAAUUUCUGUGGAAGAGAAUGGAUAUUCUCAGUUUGCUUCUUGUUUUCUUCUCGGCAGUGGCUGUGAGCAGAGCCCAGGUGCAGCAGGAGACGGCGGCAGAGACCAGCGAGGGCACCGGCAUCAACAUCACCUGCUCACUCCCCGAUAUACUGUCCAAUGACUACAUCCACUGGUACCGUCAGCUCCCGGGCCGAGGACCCGCAUUCCUCGUCAGUGCCUUGAAGGGCUCCAAGGAGGUUCCGGACCCGGAGGGCCGGCUGUGGGUGUCGGCAGACCGCCGCUCCAGCGCCCUGUGGCUCGCCCGGCCCCGGCUCGGCGACGCGGCCGUGUAUUACUGCGCGUUGGUAGCACGGGGAGACGAGUCGGGGCUGCGGCCGGGCACGAACCGCUUAGGGCGGGGCGGGGGCGCAGUGCUGCCUGCAUGGCCGCCAAACUCCAUCCUGACCCGGGUGCACCUCCCUGAGUUCUCGACAGAAAUGAGCACUGCACCCAUAGCAGCCACUCACUGAGGCCAAUGUCAAUCAGGCACACCUGUGUCUGAGGUAGGUAGGCUGGCAUAACUGACAACACAAGCUGUGUUUGACAACUGAAGGUCAUCCGCACAGUCCUAUUCCAUCUCCUACUCUCUUCUCCAUCCCAGGGCAGUACAUAUGAGAGCAAGAGGAGCCCUGUUUCUUAGAGCCUGCAGGAUGCUUUGUUCAUAUGGCCCUCCACACAGUUAAAGCUUUUCCUGUGAGUGCUACAGAGGCUGUGUUCUCUUUGGGGGCAGUUGUUGCCAUAAACGCUCUUCUUCAACUGCAGAUGCAAAGCUGAAGAGAGGAGUCUCUACAGUGUGUUACAACCUCUCAUUCUUCUGGGAAUGGAGAAGGAUCUCCAUAAACAUUCAUCUUACACACUCGAGAAGCAAAGCCAUUCUCUUUGUAGCUCUGGAGGCCGUGCACGGUGCAAGAAAUAUCAAAGACUUACAUUAAGAUGCAGACAUUUUUUAAUGAAUGUUUAAAUAAGAAAAUGAGAUCACUCAGAGCACUCAGGUUUGACAGUACAGGAUUCGCAUGAUCCCAUGUUUGAUUUCACUCAGGGCACGUGCCUUAUUUUCUAUCAGAGUAUGGACUAGUUCUGAGAAAUCUCACAUCUAGAGGUUAACAAG